CCUACGGGAGGCUGCAGUGGGGGAUAUUGCACAAUGGGGGGAACCCUGAUGCAGCGACGCCGCGUGGGUGAAGAAGCGCCUCGGCGCGUAAAGCCCUGUCAGCAGGGAAGAAAAUGACGGUACCUGAAGAAGAAGCCCCGGCUAACUACGUGCCAGCAGCCGCGGUAAUACGUAGGGGGCAAGCGUUAUCCGGAUUUACUGGGUGUAAAGGGGGCGCAGACGGCGAUGCAAGCCAGGAGUGAAAGCCCGGGGCCCAACCCCGGGACUGCUCUUGGAACUGCGUGGCUGGAGUGCAGGAGGGGCAGGCGGAAUUCCUAGUGUAGCGGUGGAAUGCGUAGAUAUUAGGAGGAACAUCAGUGGCGAAGGCGACUUUCUGGACUGUAACUGACGCUGAGGCACGAAAGUGUGGGGAGCAAACAGGAUUAGAUACCCCUGUAGUC
rnacentral:rRNA from 1 species